GGGGUCAUAGCUCAGUUGGAUAGAGCAACGGAUUUCUAAUCCGUAGGUCGUAGGUUCGAAUCCUACUGGCCCUG
rnacentral:tRNA from 1 species